rnacentral:lncRNA from 1 species
CUGGAGCAGUGGAACACCAAGGUCUGGAGCAGUGGAACACCAAGGUCUGGAGCAGUGGAACACCAAGGUCUGGAGCAGUGGAACACCAAUGUCUGGAGCAGUAGAACACCAAGGUCUGGAGCAGUAGAACACCAAGGUCUGGAGCAGUGGAACACCAAGGUCUGGAGCAGUAGAACACCUAGGUCUGGAGCAGUGGAACACCUAGGUCUGGAGCAGUGGAACACCAAGGUCUGGAGCAGUAGAACACCAAGGUCUGGAGCAGUGGAACACCAAGGUCUGGAGCAGUGGAACACCAAGGUCUGGAGCAGUAGAACACCUAGGUCUGGAGCAGUGGAACACCAAGGUCUGGAGCAGUGGAACACCAAGGUCUGGAGCAGUGGAACACCUAGGUCUGGAGCAGUGGAACACCAAGGUCUGGAGCAGUAGAACACCAAGGUCUGGAGCAGUGGAACACCAAGGUCUGGAGCAGUGGAACACCAAGGUCUGGAGCCGUGGAACACCAAGGUCUGGAGCAGUGGAACACCAAGGUCUGGAGCAGUAGAACACCUAGGUCUGGAGCAGUGGAACACCUAGGUCUGGAGCAGUGGAACACCAAGGUCUGGAGCAGUGGAACACCAAGGUCUGGAGCAGUAGAACACCUAGGUCUGGAGCAGUGGAACACCAAGGUCUGGAGCAGUAGAACACCUAGGUCUGGAGCUCGGGACAGAUAGACACUGCCA